AAUGAACGCUGGCGGCGUGCCUAACACAUGCAAGUCGAGCGAGAAAGUCCCCUUCGGGGGGCGAGUAAAGCGGCGCACGGGUGAGUAACGCGUGGGUAACCUGCCCUUGAGUGGGGGAUAACCAGCCGAAAGGCUGACUAAUCCCGCAUACGACCGGCAGACACAAGUCUGUCGGGGAAAGAUGGCCUCUGCUUGCAAGCUAUCGCUCUUGGAUGGGCCCGCGUUGGAUUAGCUAGUUGGUGGGGUAACGGCCUACCAAGGCUGCGAUCCAUAGCUGGUUUGAGAGGACGACCAGCCACACUGGAACUGAGACACGGUCCAGACUCCUACGGGAGGCAGCAGUAAGGAAUAUUGGGCAAUGGUCGAAAGACUGACCCAGCCAUGCCGCGUGCAGGAUGAAGGCCCUAUGGGUUGUAAACUGCUUUUAGCCGGGAAUAAACACCCGUUUUAUAACGGGCCCGAAGGUACCGGCUGAAUAAGCAUCGGCUAACUCCGUGCCAGCAGCCG
rnacentral:rRNA from 1 species